rnacentral:sRNA from 1 species
GCCAGGUGUGGCGGUGCACGCCUGUAAUCCCAGUAGCUUGGGAGACUAAGGCAGGAGAAUUGAGAGUUCAAAGCCAGUCUCAGCAAUUUAGUGAGGCCCUAGGCAACUUAGUGAGACCCUGUCUCUA